GAUGAACGCUGACAGAAUGCUUAACACAUGCAAGUCGACUUGAAUUUGGGUUUUUAACUUCGGUUUGGGUGGCGGACGGGUGAGUAACGCGUAAAGAACUUGCCUCACAGCUAGGGACAACAUUUGGAAACGAAUGCUAAUACCUAAUAUUAUGAUAAUAGGGCAUCCUAUAAUUAUGAAAGCUAUAAGCGCUGUGAGAGAGCUUUGCGUCCCAUUAGCUAGUUGGAGAGGUAACGGCUCACCAAGGCGAUGAUGGGUAGCCGGCCUGAGAGGGUGAUCGGCCACAAGGGGACUGAGACACGGCCCUUACUCCUACGGGAGGCAGGAGGGGGGAAUAAUGGACAAUGGACCGAGAGUCUGAUCCAGCAAUUCUGUGUGGACGAUGAAGUUUUUCGGAAUGUAAAGUGGUUUCAGUUGGGAAGAAACAAAUGACGGUACCAACAGAAGAAGUGACGGCUAAAUACGUG
rnacentral:rRNA from 1 species